AGUAACUGCGAGUGAAGCGGGAAAAGCUCAAAUUUAAAAUCUGGCGGUCUCCGGCCGUCCGAGUUGUAAUCUAGAGAAGUGUUAUCCGCGCUGGACCGUGUACAAGUCUCCUGGAAUGGAGCGUCAUAGAGGGUGAGAAUCCCGUCUUUGACACGGACUACCAGGGCUUUGUGAUGCGCUCUCAAAGAGUCGAGUUGUUUGGGAAUGCAGCUCAAAAUGGGUGGUAAAUUCCAUCUAAAGCUAAAUAUUGGCGAGAGACCGAUAGCGAACAAGUACCGUGAGGGAAAGAUGAAAAGAACUUUGGAAAGAGAGUUAAACAGUACGUGAAAUUGCUGAAAGGGAAACGCUUGAAGUCAGUCGCGUUGGCCGGGGAUCAACCUUGCUUUUGCUGGGCGUACUUUCCGGUUGACGGGUCAGCAUCAAUUUUGACCGUUGGAUAAAGUCUAGGGGAAUGUGGCAUCUUCGGAUGUGUUAUAGCCCUUGGUCGCAUACAACGGUUGGGAUUGAGGAACUCAGCACGCCGCAAGGCCGGGUACUUGUACCACGUUCGUGCUUAGGAUGCUGGCAUAAUGGCUUUAAUCGACCCGUCUUGAAACACGGACCAAGGAGUCUAACAUGCCUGCGAGUGUUUGGGUGGAAAACUCGGACGCGUAAUGAAAGUGAAAGUUGAGAUCCCUGUCGUGGGGAGCAUCGACGCCCGGACCAGACCUUUUGUGACGGAUCCGCGGUAGAGCAUGUAUGUUGGGACCCGAAAGAUGGUGAACUAUGCCUGAAUAGGGUGAAGCCAGAGGAAACUCUGGUGGAGGCUCGUAGCGAUUCUGACGUGCAAAUCGAUCGUCAAAUUUGGGUAUAG
rnacentral:rRNA from 1 species